UGGGGAAUAUUGCACAAUGGACGGAAGUCUGAUGCAGCAACGCCGCGUGCGGGAUGACGGCCUUCGGGUUGUAAACCGCUUUUUCUCAUGACGAAGUUUUUUGACGGUAGUGGGGGAAGAAGCACCGGCUAACUACGUGCCAGCAGCCGCGGUGGUACGUAGGGUGCGAGCGUUGUCCGGAAUUAUUGGGCGUAAAGAGCUUGUAGGCGGUUUGUCGCGUCGAUAGUGCAAACUCAGUGCUUAACGCUGAGCCUGCUGUUGAUACGGGCAGACUAGAGGAAGGUAGGGGAGAAUGGAAUUCCCGGUGGAGCGGUGGAAUGCGCAGAUAUCGGGAGGAACACCGGUGGCGAAGGCGGUUCUCUGGGCCUUUCCUGACGCUGAGAAGCGAAAGCGUGGGGAGCGAACAGG
rnacentral:rRNA from 1 species